GACGAACGCUGGCGGCGUGCUUAACACAUGCAAGUCGAGCGGUAAGGCCCUUUCGGGGGUACACGAGCGGCGAACGGGUGAGUAACACGUGGGUGACCUGCCCUCAGCUCUGGGAUAAGCCUGGGAAACCGGGUCUAAUACUGGAUAUGACUCCAUGACGCAUGUUGUGGGGUGGAAAGCCUUGUGCGGCUGAGGAUGGGCCCGCGGCCUAUCAGCUUGUUGGUGGGGUGANGGCCUACCAAGGUGACGACGGGUAGCCGGCCUGAGAGGGCGACCGGCCACACUGGGACUGAGACACGGCCCAGACUCCUACGGGAGGCAGCAGUGGGGAAUCUUGCGCAAUGGGCGAAAGCCUGACGCAGCGACGCCGCGUGAGGGAUGACGGCCU
rnacentral:rRNA from 1 species